rnacentral:rRNA from 1 species
CACGUAGGGCGCGAGCGUUGUCCGGAAUUAUUGGGCGUAAAGAGCUCGUAGGCGGCCUGUUGCGUCCGCUGUGAAAGCCCGGGGCUUAACCCCGGGUCGGCAGUGGAUACGGGCAGGCUAGAGGUAGGUAGGGGAGAAUGGAAUUCCCGGUGUAGCGGUGAAAUGCGCAGAUAUCGGGAAGAACACCGGUGGCGAAGGCGGCGCUCUGGACCGAGACUGACGCUGAGGCGCGAAAGCGUGGGGAGCAAACAGG